rnacentral:lncRNA from 1 species
CCCGGCCCAAAGAAAAUUCAGUUGUGUUUACCAGAACUAAAACUAGAACCCUUUCAGCUAAUGGUGCCUGGCACAUAACAGGCCUGAAAAUGAUAAAUUUUUUCCCCUGACUCCUUAUCAGUAGUCAUAGUCAUUUGUUGACACCACUCCAAAAAUAAGAGUAAAAUAAAGACUAGGUACACAAAGGGUCAGGAAAGUUAUCAAGGACAUAGGAGAGAUGACGCCAAGCCAGAGGAAAUGGAGCUUCACAGGAAACAUAACAAAAUCCGAAGAGGGAAGAGGACAAAGAAACUGAACAGUCUCUUAACUGCCUGGUCAGUGGCACUGGACCAGUGUUGGAGAGAUGCUGAGAGGAGCAAAGCCCUGAUUCACACAGUGGUCUGGAGUGACCUCAAGGGAGAAGCCCAUCUACCUACACCAGACAUGGCUUAUGAGGGAGGGACCGAGAAGAGCCUGCCUGUACCCAUAAGCUGUGCCAAGGACUUAUACCAUGUCACACCAGCAUUGGACGAGACCUUAGAGAUUACUUAAUCUGUCACCCAUCUCCACUUCCUGUAUACUCGGAUUACAGGAACAUACCACCACUCUUUGAUUAUGCUGGGGAUUGAACCCAGGGCUUUAUGAAUGCUAGGCAAAGACUCUACCAAUUGAACUACAUCCUUAGCCCUUUCAUACGGUGAUGUUGAAUUGAGUUUGAGUUCCAGCACCGCCUCCUACCAGUUAUACCAUUUGAGCCUUGAACUCUUCAUCUUAAAAAUGGACAUAACAGUUGGCAUGACAGCUCAGUGGAUAAAGAUGCUUGCUACCAAGCCGGACAACCCAAGUUCAAGCCCUAGGACCUACCUGGUGGAAGUAGAGAAAGGACUCUCACAAGUUGUUCUCUGAACUUUCUAUGUGAUACACUCAUCCCACAAAUAAUAACUAACCAAAUAAGUCUAAUAAAUAGAUUAUUGGGCCAGUGAGAUGACUCUAUGUAAAGAAGUUCUGCCACCAGGAAUGGUCACCUGAGUCUGAUUCCCGAGAUUCACCCGCACAAUGGAAGGAGAAAACUGACCUCCCCAAGUUGUCUUCUGAUCUCCAUAUGAGAGCUGUGCGUGUGCACACCAAUACAAC